rnacentral:rRNA from 1 species
UACGUAGGUGACCAGCGUUGUCCGGAUUUACUGGGCGUAAAGAGCGCGCAGGCGGUCGUUCAAGUCGAGUGUGAAAGCCCCCGGCUCAACUGGGGAGGGUCACUCGAUACUGAUCGACUUGAAGGCAGGAGAGGGAAGCGGAAUUCCCGGUGUAGUGGUGAAAUGCGUAGAUAUCGGGAGGAACACCGGUGGCGAAGGCGGCGACCUGGGUCGACACUGACGCUGAGGCGCGAAAGCGUGGGGAGCAAACAGG